rnacentral:rRNA from 1 species
UAGGCUUGCGUCUGAUUAGCUAGUUGGUGUGGUAACGGCACACCAAGGCUACGAUCAGUAACUGGUCUGAGAGGAUGAUCAGUCACACUGGAACUGAGACACGGUCCAGACUCCUACGGGAGGCAGCAGUGAGGAAUAUUGGGCAAUGCUCGAAAGAGUGACCCAGCAACGCCGCGUGGAGGAUGAAGGUAUUCUAUAUCGUAAACUCCUGUGAGAGCAGACGAAAGACAGAUUAUUAAUCUGGAUGACUGUAUGCUCAGAGGAAGCCCCGGCUAACUACGUG